rnacentral:rRNA from 1 species
AUUGAACGCUGGCGGCAGGCCUAACACAUGCAAGUCGAACGGUAACAGGAAGAAGCUUGCUUCUUUGCUGACGAGUGGCGGACGGGUGAGUAAUGUCUGGGAAACUGCCUGAUGGAGGGGGAUAACUACUGGAAACGGUAGCUAAUACCGCAUAACGUCGCAAGACCAAAGAGGGGGACCUUCGGGCCUCUUGCCAUCGGAUGUGCCCAGAUGGGUUAGCUAGUAGGUGGGGUAACGGCUCACCUAGGCGACGAUCCCUAGCUGGUCUGAGAGGAUGACCAGCCACACUGGAACUGAGACACGGUCCAGACUCCUACGGGAGGCAGCAGUGGGGAAUAUUGCACAAUGGGCGCAAGCCUGAUGCAGCCAUGCCGCGUGUAUGAAGAAGGCCUUCGGGUUGUAAAGUACUUUCAGCGGGGAGGAAGGGAGUAAAGUUAAUACCUUUGCUCAUUGACGUUACCCGCAGAAGAAGCACCGGCUAACUCCGUG